AGUGAACGCUGGCGGCGUGCCUAACACAUGCAAGUCGAACGAGAACGGAAUAUAGCUUGCUAUAUUUGUCAGCUAAGUGGCGCACGGGUGAGUAAUGUAUAGAUAACCUGCCCUUAAGAAAGGAAUAACAGUUGGAAACGACUGCUAAUGCCCUAUAUGCCUUUAAUACAUAAGUAUGCAAGGGAAACGCUUUAGUGGUUAAGGAUGGGUCUGUAUGGUAUCAGCUUGUUGGUGAGGUAAUGGCUCACCAAGGCUAUGACGCCUAACUGGUUUGAGAGGAUGAUCAGUCACACUGGAACUGAGACACGGUCCAGACUCCUACGGGAGGCAGCAGUGGGGAAUAUUGCACAAUGGACGAAAGUCUGAUGCAGCAACGCCGCGUGGAGGAUGACACAUUUCGGUGCGUAAACUCCUUUUAUAUAGGAAGAUAAUGACGGUACUAUAUGAAUAAGCACCGGCUAACUCCGUGCCAGCCGCCGCCGUAAGAC
rnacentral:rRNA from 1 species